GACGAACGCUGGCGGCGUGCCUAAUACAUGCAAGUCGAACGCAGUGGGGACGGGUGAGUAACACGUGGGUAACCUCCCCAUCAGACGGGCUAACACUUGGCAACAGGUGCUAAACCGAUACUGCUGGAUGUACCCGCGGUGCAUAAGCUAGUUGGUGAGGUAACGGCUCACCAAGGCCACGAUGCAUAGCCGUGCUGAGAGGGUGAUCGGCCACACUGGGACUGAGACACGGCCCAGAAUCCUACGGGAGGCAGCAGUAGGGAAUUUUCGGCAAUGGACGAAAGUCUGACCUAGCAACGCCGCGUGAGUGAAGAAGGUUUUCGGAUCGUAAAACUCUGUUGGUAGAGAAGCGGUAUCUAACCAGAAAGCAACGGCUAACUACGUGCCAGCAGCCGCGGUAAUAC
rnacentral:rRNA from 1 species